rnacentral:lncRNA from 1 species
AAAUUCAAGAAUGCUCAGAAGAAUAUUUCCAUGAAAAGAUACUAGAUAAAGCGCAAAUAUCAAGGAUAUUCCACUAAUUUCAUGGAGUAUAGAAAUCAAAACUUUAACCAAUUGAAUAUAAUAAAGAAUAGAAUAACAAAAGAAAUCACCAUGCAUGCGGUACUUCGCAUAGACAGGUUAUUCCAAUAGAAUAAUAAAUAACGGAACCAGGUCAGGCGUAAUACGCACCGACAGGAUAUUCCAACAGAAUAAUAAAGAAUGGAAUAACAACAGAAAUCACCAUGCAUGCGGUAC